rnacentral:rRNA from 1 species
GAUGAACGCUGGCGGCGUGCCUAAUACAUGCAAGUCGAGCGAACGGACGAGAAGCUUGCUUCUCUGAUGUUAGCGGCGGACGGGUGAGUAACACGUGGAUAACCUACCUAUAAGACUGGGAUAACUUCGGGAAACCGGAGCUAAUACCGGAUAAUAUUUUGAACCGCAUGGUUCAAAAGUGAAAGACGGUCUUGCUGUCACUUAUAGAUGGAUCCGCGCUGCAUUAGCUAGUUGGUAAGGUAACGGCUUACCGAGGCAACGAUGCAUAGCCGACCUGAGAGGGUGAUCGGCCACACUGGAACUGAGACACGGUCCAGACUCCUACGGGAGGCAGCAGUAGGGAAUCUUCCGCAAAGGGCGAAAGCCUGACGGAGCAACGCCGCGUGAGUGAUGAAGGUCUUCGGAUCGUAAAACUCUGUUAUUAGGGAAGAACAUAUGUGUAAGUAACUGUGCACAUCUUGACGGUACCUAAUCAGAAAGCCACGGCUAACUACGUG